rnacentral:lncRNA from 1 species
AUAAGUAUAAAAGAUCAAUUUUACUUAAAAAAUUACAUUAUUAUUCCUCAAUGUCAAAAUAUUGAAAUCUUGAUUGGUUUUCAUGAUCUUGAUAAAUUCUAUAGAUCCGACCUUGUGUGGAAAUAAAUUCUUAGUAGGUGAAUAAAUCCCCUAUACCCUGCUUAACAACUGGGUUUCUGAGGUGAAGAAAAUUCCCUGUACCCUGUCACGAACCCAAGACUGUUCAUUGUAUAUGAGUCAGUGAAAGUCACAUGACACAGUACAAGUUAACCUCAGCUGUUUAUAACUCAUAUAAAUACAUUGGAACUUGUAACUACCUGUAUAUAACUGCUACCAAUACAAUUGCAAAGAAUAUUAAUGAAAUGAAACUAUACUUAACAAAGAUUAAUAUUUAGAGGUUAUCGAUGGGGAGUCAACAGGAUCAUUUUGGACUGUGCCCUUGCACCAUGCGUGCAUUGUAAACAUCAGGAGCCCUUACAGCACAUAUUAAUUCCACAUGAGACAAAAACUCAUAUUUACACUGGUAUAACCACAGACGUCUGGCACUGGUGACACAGGAAGUACAGGCCACUCGAUCAACCAUUACCUUCUUACAGUGUGGUACGGAUAACUGGGAAUGUAUUUCUACUUACUAUCAAAAUCCUUCAGCAAAUUCAUGUAUAAAUUAACUCAUUUUAACCAAUUUGGUCAAUAAAAAAUUGAAAUUGCUGAUAAAACAACACUAGACAGAAUGAUUUCCCAUUUCAGUUUUACCUCCUGUUCGGCUUAACAUUGUUUUAUAUGAGAGACUGAGAUUAUUGUGUAUUUUCUUGUGAACUAAGCCAGAAAUGGCAAUUAACUGUGCCCAUGGUUCCUUCAAAUCUCCCAUCAAAUCCAUGUUUUAACCAGGGGCAAGACCCCAGGUUCCAGACGUCUACACUUACAUAUGUUGUCGGGCUAGUGUCUUCACCAAACUGUCUCACUACAUCUAAACUUGUUAACCAACUAAGCUAUGUCUAGCCAAGUUAGACUACCGUUUUGAUAAUGAUAACAUUAAUCAAAGUAAUUUCCCAGACUUCAGAAGACAUCAUCUUAUUCGAUCAUUGAUUGACAAGGGCAAUGCUAUGUUAGUAGACACAAAGAGGAGUCUUAACCUGACCUCUCAUACUUGCAUUUAAUUUGUACUCACAUAUGACUCCACAGAUAUCAUAUUUAUCACCUUAUCUUGCUGACUUACUGGACCAUUAUAAGAUAAAUGUUAUAACACCAUGUGUGGCAGGAAGGGUUCAGAACUGCUCCAACACCAUGUUAGUUUAAUGUGCUUUGUGGUGUGUGUUGAUUAUGUGGGAUCUGAUAUAAACCAUACACACAGGAAGCCAGUGGACUCUCAUCUACAAGUCAACAAGGAAAGCCAAGAAUAUAGUGAUAAGUGUGUCUUGUAUAUAUGUGCAAAGUUUGUAGAACAAGAACUUGUGAUAGGACACUUGCUGGGCCAGACAAACAGCAUCACAGACACAACAGUAGGUUCCAAACUCUAGUCAGUGAUUGAAGUCCUUCAUUUAAGACUUCUGAAAACUAGGUAUCUAACAAGGUUUGGAAGAAUCCAUGGAAGGCUUUUGAAGGGAUCUGCCCCAGUGUGCUCGCCAUAAUAAUGAGAAAGAGAUUUGAGAAAAGCCAACUAAACAAUUCAGGGUCAGACAGCUAUUCUCAUAUCAAAACUGUAAUUGUUUCAAGAAGGUGAUGCAUAAUAUCAGCUUAUUGACAGGUAUAUAUUCCUCCAUAUGAGACCCACAAGAAGCAAUGCAGCUUUUACUGCAAGAGAGAGCAGGGAAUUCAAUCAAUGUGAAUUUUAGAAAUGUGUGGACAAAAUACAAGAUCAUUUCUUUCAAACAGCCAGCCAGUAGGCUUGAAUAUAAGCCAUCAAUAAGAGAUUGAACUUGUGCCAAUUCCUGAAGAUGGCUGCACAAAUAGAGGACUCCGCAAAAGACAUGAAAGUUGGUGCCAGAGGUGAGAAGAAUUGCUAGGCUCAAUACAUAACCCUGAGGCCAAGACAGACAACCAUGCUGACAGCAGUGGUAUGGACACGGUGGCAGCAGGUGUACUUGAUGCAGUACAUUACCAAGACAGACAACCAUGCUGACAGCAGUGGUACAAACACGGUGGCAGCAGGUGUACAUGAUGCAGUACAUUAGCAAGACAGACAACCAUGCUGACAGCAGUGGUA